GACGAACGCUGGCGGCGUGCUUAACACAUGCAAGUCGAACGGAAAGGCCUCUUUCGGGGGGUACUCGAGUGGCGAACGGGUGAGUAACACGUGAGUAACCUGCCCUUGACUUUGGGAUAACUUCAGGAAACUGGGGCUAAUACCGGAUAGGAGCUCCUGCUGCAUGGUGGGGGUUGGAAAGUUUCGGCGGUUGGGGAUGGACUCGCGGCUUAUCAGCUUGUUGGUGGGGUAGUGGCUUACCAAGGCUUUGACGGGUAGCCGGCCUGAGGGGGUGACCGGCCACAUUGGGACUGAGAUACGGCCCAGACUCCUACGGGAGGCAGCAGUGGGGAAUAUUGCACAAUGGGUGGAAGCCUGAUGCAGCAACGCCGUGUGCGGGAUGACGGCCUUCGGGUUGUAAACCGCUUUCGCUCAUGACGAAGCUUUGCGUGACGGUAGUGGGUAAAGAAGCACCGGCUAACUACGUG
rnacentral:rRNA from 1 species